rnacentral:lncRNA from 1 species
CAAAACAUAUGGUCUCCACCAAUUUAAAUAAGCUUCAUCUUUGCUUCUCUCGACCAAAGAAACAAGAAACAGAAAAAAAAAUACAUUUCUCUCACGUCGCAGUACCUAAAUCUUUGUUUCUCAAGGUAUUAUUUUGAUCAUUCUUAUAAGUUAUAAUCCUAUCACUCGCUUUAUCAUUUACUCAGGUUUAGCAUUUAUAUUGUGUUUUUGUAUUUUCGUUUACAAAAGAGAAACAGAAGAUGUGUUUGAUGACACAUGCUUAUAAAGACAAUGGAGCUUCUACUUCUUCACUUUUGUCUUCCAUGUGCAAGGUAAAUAAAUUGUCUGGUUUUUGGAGAAAAAAAAAAAAGUAAAUCGAUUUGAGCAUAUUUUUGCUUGUGUAUGCAAGCAAUUAUGGAAUGAAACAUAACUUUAUUGUGAUCGAUCAUCUUUUUGUAAUGGGCCUAUGAAAGAACUGGUAUUGGGCUUGAGUAGAUCAAAGUCCAUCAUUUAUGCUUUAUUGGGCUCCACUCUUGGUCACUUCACAUUUUAAACAACUUUUUCACUUUUUUUUUUUCCCGGCAAUAUUUUCACUUUUUUUUUUUUACAAGUGAUAAUAUCAUAAUACUGUUAUUAUCAACUCUCUUGUCCUAUUAUCACUAUUUUUGUUUUGCCGACUAUCAUUUUAAUUCUUG